UACGUAGGGUGCAAGCGUUGUCCGGAAUUAUUGGGCGUAAAGAGCUCGUAGGCGGUUUGUCGCGUCUGCUGUGAAAACUCGGGGCUUAACCCCGGGCCUGCAGUGGGUACGGGCAGACUAGAGUGCGGUAGGGGAGACUGGAAUUCCUGGUGUAGCGGUGAAAUGCGUAGAGAUCAGCAGGAACACCCGUGGCGAAGGCAGCAAACUGGUCAUCAACUGACGCUGAGGCGCGAAAGCGUGGGUAGCAAACAGG
rnacentral:rRNA from 1 species